GAUGAACGCUGGCGGCGUGCCUAAUACAUGCAAGUCGAGCGAACAGACGAGGAGCUUGCUCCUCUGACGUUAGCGGCGGACGGGUGAGUAACACGUGGAUAACCUACCUAUAAGACUGGGAUAACUUCGGGAAACCGGAGCUAAUACCGGAUAAUAUAUUGAACCGCAUGGUUCAAUAGUGAAAGACGGUUUUGCUGUCACUUAUAGAUGGAUCCGCGCCGCAUUAGCUAGUUGGUAAGGUAACGGCUUACCAAGGCAAGAAUGCGUAGCCGACCUGAGAGGGGGUUCGGCCACAUUGGAACUGGAACACGGCCCAGACUCCUACGGGAGGCACCAGUAGGGAAUCUUCCGCAAUGGGCGAAAGCCUGACGGAGCAACGCCGCGUGAGUGAUGAAGGUUUUCGGAUCGUAAAACUCUGUUAUUAGGGAAGAACAAAUGUGUAAGUAACUAUGCACGUCUUGACGGUACCUAAUCAGAAAGCCACGGCUUACUACGUG
rnacentral:rRNA from 1 species